CAGCCGCCACGGUAAUACGGAGGGGGCUAGCGUUGUUCGGAAUUACUGGGCGUAAAGCGUACGUAGGCGGCUUUGUAAGUUAGAGGUGAAAGCCUGGUGCUCAACACCAGAACUGCCUUUAAGACUGCAUCGCUUGAACGUCGGAGAGGUGAGUGGAAUUCCGAGUGUAGAGGUGAAAUUCGUAGAUAUUCGGAAGAACACCAGUGGCGAAGGCGGCUCACUGGCUCAUACUGGACGCUGAGGUGCGAAAGCGUGGGGAGCAAACAGGAUUAGAUACCCCCGUAGUCCCUGUCUCUUAUCA
rnacentral:rRNA from 1 species